GCCUGUACUGUGCUAAUUGUUGAAUAGACUAACCAGAGGAAAAAAAAGGUUUCCCUAGAGUAAAGAUGCUCAUAGCCAAGUUUCCACCUUCAGCAGCAGGUGCGUGGAGGAGAGGAUAAAGGGCAAGGCGAUCAGUCCAUGAAUGAUGUGGCAACUCAGGAGGUUUCCUUGCAUUCUGAAGAUCUCUCUGAGUCAUAGUGAGGCACGUAUGCAUGAGCAAGUCGGGAACUGGUGACAGGAGCUCCACUUCUUCCAUGAUCAAACUAAACAAAACCAAGCGUCUCUGCACCCUUGAGCUUCUGCAGUGCCAGGUGAGGAGAAAGAUCCUUGAUCUCUACGAUCUGCACAGUGAAGAAAGCCAGGGGCCAAGGAAGAGCAGUUGUCAAGAGAGACCACUCAACACUUGA
rnacentral:lncRNA from 1 species